CUUAAUAUUCAUCCUUCUAUUUCUUAGGUCCUUUUAGUAUGUAUGCUAGUACAAGUUACAAAAUAAAAUAGUUAGUUUUUAUUUUGUAAGAUUCUUUUCAAAAAAGUCAAUAAAUUUGACACUUCUUCCAGUCACCUACUUACGACCUCUCCGGUGCGGUAGUGGCGAAGCUUCAAGCAUGUGUAAAAAGACGAUACGAGACCGAACUCUCAAUCACCUCAACAUCUUUCUCUGCACCCCAUUGGUUUCCAAAUUCAUCUCCGACGAGGACCUACUGAAGAUCUGGAAAGGGCUUUUCUACAGUAUCCGGUACGCUGAUAAGCUUCUGUUUCAAAUCGAACUCAUUGACCGCCUCUCCUCUAUUCUUUCCUCACUCGAACUUGCUCUUACCGCACGUUACUUCCAUUCCUUCCUUAUCACAAUGCAAUCGCUUAACCGCAUUAUUCAAUUAGGGCUUAGCCUCAAUUUCAGGGAUAUUUUCCCUAAGUGUUAGCCUUGGACACCCGAGAUCAUUGAUUUUGGCUCUAAGGCACUCCUGUUCAGGUCAAAUCUUUCUGAAUCAAAAUUCUUGGGUAGAACCUAUCUUUUUUCUUAAACUGCACUAACACCUGUGAUUUUAUCGAAUCCGUUGCAUAAUUAAAAGUUCAAAAUUAAAACCUGUGCACUAAAACUCUGAACGUAGAACCCGGAACGUAGAACAUCUAACGGAAUGUAGAACCCAAAAAAAGAUCUAAAAACUCUGAUUAUCAAUUUAUAAAAAUCGUAUAGUAGUCGUGACCUAACGGAAACUCUGCAUCCCUGCACAUGAGAGGCCACCUGAACAGAAAUUACCGAGACCACAUCCUGACGGAGUCCACCUUAACAAUACCCAUGGCAUCUUAACAGAGCAUCUACACAGAGCCACUUUAACAUAAUCAAACUAGAUGAAACUUAGUCAUCAGAAGGACCCAAAACGAGUUACCCAAACACGAAUAAUGAAAAAAAAGAACCCAAAAAUGAAAAAAAGAACCCAAACACGAAUAAUGAUAAAACAGAACCCAAAACGAAUAGUAGACGAAAGAAACAGAACCCAAAACGACGGUAGAAAUUAAAACACAAACCUGAACCAAAACAAAACACGUAGAAGUACCCAAUAACAGGACACAAAAACAAGACACACAAACCUGAACCAGAACGAACAACGAAGCAAACCAGAACAGAAAAUCAGGACACAACGAACUAGAACACAACGAAGAACCAAAACAAAACGAAGAUUCGUUCUGGUUCG
rnacentral:lncRNA from 1 species